AACACGUGGGCAAUCUGCCCUGCACUUCGGGAUAAGCCUGGGAAACUGGGUCUAAUACCGGAUAGGACCUCAAGACGCAUGUCUUCUGGUGGAAAGCUUUUGCGGUGUGGGAUGGGCCCGCGGCCUAUCAGCUUGUUGGUGGGGUGACGGCCUACCAAGGCGACGACGGGUAGCCGGCCUGAGAGGGUGUCCGGCCACACUGGGACUGAGAUACGGCCCAGACUCCUACGGGAGGCAGCAGUGGGGAAUAUUGCACAAUGGGCGCAAGCCUGAUGCAGCGACGCCGCGUGGGGGAUGACGGCCUUCGGGUUGUAAACCUCUUUCACCAUCGACGAAGGUCCGGGUUUUCUCGGAUUGACGGUAGGUGGAGAAGAAGCACCGGCCAACUACGUGCCAGCAGCCGCGGUAAUACGUAGGGUGCGAGCGUUGUCCGGAAUUACUGGGCGUAAAGAGCUCGUAGGUGGUUUGUCGCGUUGUUCGUGAAAUCUCACGGCUUAACUGUGAGCGUGCGGGCGAUACGGGCAGACUAGAGUACUGCAGGGGAGACUGGAAUUCCUGGUGUAGCGGUGGAAUGCGCAGAUAUCAGGAGGAACACCGGUGGCGAAGGCGGGUCUCUGGGCAGUAACUGACGCUGAGGAGCGAAAGCGUGGGGAGCGAACAGGAUUAGAUACCCUGGUAGUCCACGCCGUAAACGGUGGGUACUAGGUGUGGGUUUCCUUCCUUGGGAUCCGUGCCGUAGCUAACGCAUUAAGUACCCCGCCUGGGGAGUACGGCC
rnacentral:rRNA from 1 species